GUAGUCCACGCCCUAAACGAUGUCUACUAGUUGUCGGGUCUUAAUUGACUUGGUAACGCAGCUAACGCGUGAAGUAGACCGCCUGGGGAGUACGGUCGCAAGAUUAAAACUCAAAGGAAUUGACGGGGACCCGCACAAGCGGUGGAUGAUGUGGAUUAAUUCGAUGCAACGCGAAAAACCUUACCUACCCUUGACAUGGACAGGACCCCGCUGAGAGGCGGGGGUGCUCGAAAGAGAACUGUCACACAGGUGCUGCAUGGCUGUCGUCAGCUCGUGUCGUGAGAUGUUGGGUUAAGUCCCGCAACGAGCGCAACCCUUGUCAUUAGUUGCUACGAAAGGGCACUCUAAUGAGACUGCCGGUGACAAACCGGA
rnacentral:rRNA from 1 species